rnacentral:hammerhead_ribozyme from 1 species
AAGCGAAACCGCCCAAUCGCGGGCGGUCUGUAGGCGUGGCGGCCUGCACUGACGAGCAGCCAAAC